rnacentral:rRNA from 1 species
UACGUAGGGUGCAAGCGUUGUCCGGAAUCAUUGGGCGUAAAGCGCGCGUAGGUGGUCAUGUAAGUCCGCUGUGAAAGUCAAAGGCUCAACCUUUGAAAGCCGGUGGAUACUGCAUGACUAGAGUACGGAAGAGGCGAGUGGAAUUCCUGGUGUAGCGGUGGAAUGCGUAGAGAUCGGGAAGAACAUCAGUGGCGAAGGCGGCCUGCUGGGCUGUUGCUGACGCUGAGGCGCGACAGCGUGGGGAGCAAACAGG